CCCCAAUAGAACUUUGGCCUCAUGAUAGGCACUGCUUCACCUGGAUGUUCUUCCCAGUACUUCUCCUGCUCAACAAUGGAACAAAAUGGUGAACAAGAUUAAGUUCAUAACUCUUAGACACAAACCAGCUGGAUGCAUAUAGAGGCUCAGUUGUGAAGAGGGAUUGAAAAUAAUUGGAAAGAAGAUAUGUCAUUCCACCCUUCUUAUCUUCUAAAUUCAUUCUUGUUGUAAUACAGAUGAAACUGAAGAUAACUGGUCGGAAUUGAACCACUAUGAUUCCUUAGCAUGACGCCUAGGUCUGAAUUUAUUAAUUUGGCAUGUGGAUUUACAUUAGAUUAGUAGCUUUAAAUAACUAAAGAAGGAUUUGAGCAGGUCAAGUUCUUAUUUUUCAUGUAAAACAGAACAGAGGAUUCCAAGAGAUGCUGGUCUUGUGAUUAUAUAAACUUGCAUUGAUCAAGUGAUAUAA